AGGCUUUGAUCCUGGCUCAGGACGAACGCUGGCGGCGUGCCUAAUACAUGCAAGUCGAGCGGACUGAAGGGAGCUUGCUCCCGGACGUUAGCGGCGGACGGGUGAGUAACACGUAGGCAACCUGCCUUGUAGACUGGGAUAACUUCGGGAAACCGGAGCUAAUACCGGAUGUUAGAUAAUUCGCGCAUGCGUGUUAUCUUAAAGUUGGCCUCGGCUAACACUACAAGAUGGGCCUGCGGCGCAUUAGCUAGUUGGUAAGGUAGUGGCUUACCAAGGCGACGAUGCGUAGCCGACCUGAGAGGGUGAUCGGCCACACUGGGACUGAGACACGGCCCAGACUCCUACGGGAGGCAGCAGUAGGGAAUCUUCCGCAAUGGACGAAAGUCUGACGGAGCAACGCCGCGUGAGCGAUGAAGGCCUUCGGGUCGUAAAGCUCUGUUGUUAGGGAAGAACAAGUGCCGUUCGAAUAGGUCGGCACCUUGACGGUACCUUACCAGAAAGCCACGGCUAAAUAACGUGCUAUA
rnacentral:rRNA from 1 species